rnacentral:misc_RNA from 1 species
GAUCACGAUUCCAACUCUUACUGCGGUCAACCCAACUUGAUCCCCUAUCAGGGCUUCGACUGCGACUACGGCCUCUAUCAUAGCUAUCACUGUAUCCUCGUUCAUACCUGUCUCGUGAUUCAUAAUCAUAUCCACGGCCACCUCCUUUUUCUGGCCUGCUGGAAGAGGAACUAGACAAUCCCCAACUACCUCUUCCCCCUUCCCUUCCCCCGUAACCAAAGUCACUUCGUCCACCACGGCCCCCAUCACGUCCACUAGGACCAGAACCCCAACGCCUAGGCCUGCCCAUUCCACCACCACGAGAAGCCAUAUCACGAAUUUCUGAAGGGACCCGCUGGUUUGCCCCUUCCAAGACUUUGAUGAGAUCUGAAGCAUACUUAGAAUCCUGGUCACCAAAGAAUGUGUAAGCAACUCCAGUAGCACCAGCCCUCCCAGUCCUCCCAAUUCUAUGAACAUAAUCCUCCACUCCAGUAGGGAAAUCAUAAUUGAUGACCACCCUGAUGUCUUUAAUGUCCAGUCCUCGAGCAGCAACAUCAGUGGCUACUAGCACUGGAGACCUCCCCGUGCGAAACUGAUUCAGAACAUAAUCCCUCUCACCCUGAGAUUUGUCUCCAUGGAUAGCAGCAGCUCCAAACUGGCGGGUAAGAUUGCGUGCAAGUUGAUCACACAUCUUUUUUGUUGAACAAAAAAUAAUAAUCUUUGAUCCAGGUUCUUGAGACCGUAAUAUCUGUUCCAACCUUCUGUGUUUCUCCAUGGGUGCCAACACUUCAAUAUACUGUGUGAUUGAUUUGUUAGCCACAAGCUCAUCCACGUUGCCAAUAUUAACUUGAACAGGAUUGACCAGUAGAUCUGCUGCAAUUUUCCGAACUUCCUUUGGCCAAGUUGCAGUGUACAUGAGAGUCUGGCGACGAGCAGGCACCUCUUUUACAAUCUUUCUUAUCUGGGGUUCAAAACCCAUGUCCAACAUGCGAUCGGCUUCAUCUAGUACAAGGUAAGAAACUUGGCUGAGGCUAAUUCUCCUCAUCUCAAGAAUGUCAUUCAAACGGCCAGGAGUGGCAACCACAAUAUCUGCACCUCUGUCUAGUUCUUUCAACUGGGGACCCUUUGGUGCUCCUCCAUACAAGCACGUGCAAGAAAUUCUUGAUGACUUUCCAAACUUCACAGCUUCAUCCUGUAUUUGUGUUGCCAACUCUCUUGUUGGUGACAAUACCAGCACAGUUGGACCCAGUUGUGCAUCAUUACGGCAGCGCCUGAGAUGCAUAAACCCAGGAAUCAAGUAACCUAAAGUCUUACCCGAACC